GACGAACGCUGGCGGCGUGCUUAACACAUGCAAGUCGAACGGAAAGGCCCUGCUUUUGUGGGGUGCUCGAGUGGCGAACGGGUGAGUAACACGUGAGUAACCUGCCCUUGACUUUGGGAUAACUUCAGGAAACUGGGGCUAAUACCGGAUAGGAGCUCCUGCUGCAUGGUGGGGGUUGGAAAGUUUCGGCGGUUGGGGAUGGACUCGCGGCUUAUCAGCUUGUUGGUGGGGUAGUGGCUUACCAAGGCUUUGACGGGUAGCCGGCCUGAGAGGGUGACCGGCCACAUUGGGACUGAGAUAGGGCCCAGACUCCUACGGGAGGCAGCAGUGGGAAAUAUUGCACAAUGGGCGGAAGCCUGAUGCAGCAACGCCGCGUGCGGGAUGACGGCCUUCGGGGUGUAAACCGCUUUCGCCUGUGACGAAGCGUGAGUGACGGUAAUGGGUAAAGAAGCACCGGCUAACUACGUG
rnacentral:rRNA from 1 species